AAAAAACAAAAACAAACAAAAUAUAUAAAAUACUUAGCUAUAAACAGGAAUAGCACCUAUAUGCUAAAAAUUGUACAAUGCUUGUGAAAGAAACCAACAAAAACCUAGAGAAAUGGACAAGUAUACCUUAUUCACAUAUUGAAAGACUCAGCAUGUUAGCUAAUAUUAGUUUUCUCUUAAUUGGCCUCUAGGGCUAACGGGACUUUUAUCAAGAGGUUUUUAUACACACAGAUUACAAGAAAAUAUUUGCAAACCACACAUCUAACAAAGGACUACUACAUGGUGUUUUUCAAAUCCAAUUAAGGAUAUGGGCAAAACACCGAAGAGAAAAAAAAAAAAAAAAAACAGGUGGCAAAUAAGGCUUAAUGACUAACUUCAUUAGCCACCAGAAAAAAUUGAAUGAAAACCACAAUGAACUCUGGAUCCCCAUCCAGAUGGAACAUGCCUUUAAUCUUAGCACUCAGGUGAACUUGAGUUCGAGGUCAGCCUGGUCUACACAGAGAAACCCUAUCUCAAAAAACAAAAGCAAAAACAAACAAACCACAAUGAGCUAAUACCAUAUUUUUUUAGAGUGUUAAAUAAAAGUACUGACAAUUCUAAAUGUUGAAGUCUAUAGAAAACAAGUUGGCA
rnacentral:lncRNA from 1 species